UUUGUAGCUUAUUUAAUUUAAUUAACCAAUAGAUCCAGUUGUUUUUUUAUUUUGUAGAAAAACAGUCAUUUCAAAUGGUGGUUUUGAAGUGAUUCAAGUUUUUGUGACAUUACAUCAGCUUUUCUGUAAAACAGAAAAUAGACGUUUUGGCUUUGUCAUAAGGCUCGAGCUUCUAUUUUUUGCAACUUCGCCGAAAAAAGUAUCGAGUCAUCAUAAAACUACUAAUACUUCUGAAGUCAUUUGUUUGAUAUUUAUUGAAAAAACUCUGUCUUAUGAUAUUCUACUUCAUUUAUAUGGCUUAUUCAAGUUGAUUAAUCAAUAGAUUCAAUUAUUUUGGUGACUUUAUGAAAAACAGUUGAUCUGCAUUUGAUUCGGUUAAAAAAGUUUUGAGUUGGAAAAAAGCACAAAAAAAAUAUUUCGAAUUGAAGACGAAGAAAAAAAAGAACUUUUAAAAUUAAACAAAAUAGAAAAAAAAAUUGAGAAAAAAUGUUUCAUAUCCUCAAUCUAUUUGUUGUUUCAAUUGGUUUGUUCCCGUAUGUUAACCAUCCUGAACAAACACAACUUAAUCACUUUUUUGCCCCGGAAAUUCAAGAAGAGAUUACUUCCAAAAUCUUCACUGAUGUUCUGAGAGUUAACUCUCACGUGUGUGUCAUUGGGAGCAAAAACAUUGACUUCAUGAUGUGUCAAAAAGAGGAUGUUCACUCAUCGGGAAAAUUUGGUCACAUGGUUGGAGGCAUGCUGGACGUUUGCAGCGCCGCCAAGAAUAUUCUGAGAUACCCUAAAUUAGGAAACGCAACCGAAGUACUGCUGAGAGAAAUCAUUCGAGAACUUCAUGAAGUUGGCCCGUAUCUUCGACCUGAGAAUAGCUUUCAAAGUUCAUGUGAUCUUUCAGAGGAAGCAAAAAUUCAGGACUACAUAACUUAUGAAGAAUUCUGCUUUUGGAUAAUAAAAUUUUGCAGCAAAAUGGAAGAGUGCAUGCUAGAUGUCGUCGCAAUGAGUGACAGCCAGAAAGCUAAAAGGAACCCAACUAUCAUACUUGUAGCAGACAAAGAAAUCGAAAAGAUCGCCAAUGGGCUUGACAGGGACCCACCCAAUUAUCAUUCUUGUACCGGACAAAAAAAUCGACAUUUCGUCAGUGAUUUUGCCAGGAACCGAGCUAUCUUGCUUGUAUCAGACGAAGAAAAAAGCAACAAAAAGAAGUUGCCAUGAAAAUCAUAAAAAGUUAUUUAGCCGUAGAAGUGAUUUUUAGAGGUUGAAAGUUUAUUUGACCUAGAAAGAGAUUUUAGAUAGUUUUUUAUAACUUGAAAAAUAUUUUUUUUUGUAGACGCUACAAACAGUCACGGGUUCACCAAAAAUGCUAAUCGUACAAAUUUCAUAUAUGGAAAAAUGCUAAUCAUACACUUUUCAUGCAAUUCCAUAAGUACAGAAAAUGCUUUAAAGGUCUAUGAUUAGUGAUUUUUCAUAUAUGGAAAUUGUAUGACUAGCAUUUUUUCAUGCACCAAAAAUAAUGAUAAUUUACAUUUAAAUUUUUCAAAUUUUUUUGGUUAUGUUCGUAACCGAACAGGAGUGACAAAAACCUCGGUUACUCAAACGUAGAAAACCAAAGGUUUGACCGUCUCGCAUUAUAAACACAUUGGAAACGGCCUGUACUAUCUUAAAUCUGUCUUUCACAAAUAAUGUAACGAAAUUAUCAAACUUUUAAAUUUUGGCAAAAUUUUUCAACGAUGAGUAUUUUUAAAAUUUGAAUUUUUAGUUUAGUAAACAUUGAUCAAGGCAUA